CUCAUUUCCGGGGAUGCGCCAGCAACCUAUUUAGGAGUCGUUCGGGUUUGUUUGGGAACUACCAAUUUAGUUUACCUAUUUAUAUAACAUAUUUGUAUAUUAUGGUAUUAAGUUCCCAAACUCAUGUAUCAUUUUGCGGUACUGUACGUUGAGCUCUGCGUAUUUGCCCAAAAGGUAUUACUUCGAAUAUUUUAUUGUUUAUUUAGGUCGAUUUCAUAUCAUUAUGUAAAUUUAGGUUGUAUUAUUUGCUUGUUUCCCAAAUAGGUCAUUUAUUCGCUUUAUUUCAUUUGUUCAGUUAAUUCGUCGCUACUUUAUUUUAUUACAUUUGCUCGGGUAAUUUAGGUCAUCGUUUCGGUAUUUAUCUUAGCUUCAUUUUUACCACUUUUAUUAAUGCAUUUGCUUAAUUCUUCAUGGUAUUUUCUCUUCGCCAGGCUUGUGCCUAUUUAUUUAUAUUACUUUUAAUAUUCAUCGGUUUUCAAUUCAGUUGUACGUAGCAAGCGUACUAUAA